rnacentral:SRP_RNA from 1 species
ACCAGGUGCAGUGGCACGUGCUUGUAGUCCCAGCUACUCGCAAGGCUGAGGUGGGAGGAUCACUUGAGCCCAGGAGUUCUGGGCUGUAGUGUGCUAUGCUGAUCAGGUGUCCGCACUAAGUUCAGCAUCAAUCUGGUGACCUCCCAGGAGCAGGGGACCACCAGCUUGCCUAAGGAGGGAUGAACCGGCCCAGGUUGGAAACAGAGCACGUCAAAACUCUUGUGCUGAUCAGUAGUGGGAUCAUGCCUGUGAAUAGCCACUGCUCCAGCCUGGGCAACAUAGCAAGACUCCGUAUCU